GAGACUUAGAGUGUCUCCUGAAGGAACGUUGAAGACGACGACGUUGAUAGGCCGGGUGUGUAAGCGCAGCGAUGCGUUGAGCUAACCGGUACUAAUGAACCGUGAGGCUUAACCUUAC
rnacentral:rRNA from 1 species